GAUGAUGAACGCAGCGAAAUGCGAUAAGUAAUGUGAAUUGCAGAAUUCAGUGAAUCAUCGAAUCUUUGAACGCACCUUGCACCCUUUGGCAUUCCGAAGGGUAUGCUCGUUUGAGUGUCAUUGUACUCUCACUCUCCCGAUGCUUUUGGAUCGGGAGUGGUGGACUUGGGUGUUGCUGCUUUGCUGUGGCUCGCCUCAAAUGGAGUAGUGCAACUCUUGGUUGGACAUAGUACGGCGUGAUAAGUGUCUUCGCCGGCGCCUCAUUAUAGAGGGUGGCCGAUCGGGAGCUCUGUGCUUCAAACCGUCUUCGGACAACAUCUGACAACUUGACCUCAAAUCGAGUAGGACUACCCGCUGAACUUAAGCAUAUCAAUAAGCGGAGGA
rnacentral:misc_RNA from 1 species